GAUGAACGCGGGCGGCGUGCCUAAUACAUGCAAGUCGAGCGAACGGACGAGAAGCUUGCUUCUCUGAUGUUAGCGGCGGACGGGUGAGUAACACGUGGAUAACCUACCUAUAAGACUGGGAUAACUUCGGGAAACCGGAGCUAAUACCGGAUAAUAUUUUGAACCGCAUGGUUCAAAAGUGAAAGACGGUCUUGCUGUCACUUAUAGAUGGAUCCGCGCUGCAUUAGCUAGUUGGUAAGGUAACGGCUUACCAAGGCAACGAUGCAUAGCCGACCUGAGAGGGUGACCGGCCACACUGGAACUGAGACACGGUCCAGACUCCUACGGGAGGCAGCAGUAGGGAAUCUUCCGCAAUGGGCGAAAGCCUGACGGAGCAACGCCGCGUGAGUGAUGAAGGUCUUCGGAUCGUAAAACUCUGUUAUUAGGGAAGAACAUAUGUGUAAGUAACUGUGCACAUCUUGACGGUACCUAAUCAGAAAGCCACGGCUAACUACGUGCCAGCAGCCGCGGUAAUACGUAGGUGGCAAGCGUUAUCCGGAAUUAUUGGGCGUAAAGCGCGCGUAGGCGGUUUUUUAAGUCUGAUGUGAAAGCCCACGGCUCAACCGUGGAGGGUCAUUGGAAACUGGAAAACUUGAGUGCAGAAGAGGAAAGUGGAAUUCCAUGUGUAGCGGUGAAAUGCGCAGAGAUGUGGAGGAACACCAGUGGCGAAGGCGACUUUCUGGUCUGUAACUGACGCUGAUGUGCGAAAGCGUGGGGAUCAAACAGGAUUAGAUACCCUGGUAGUCCACGCCGUAAACGAUGAGUGCUAAGUGUUAGGGGGUUUCCGCCCCUUAGUGCUGCAGCUAACGCAUUAAGCACUCCGCCUGGGGAGUACGACCACAAGGUUGAAACUCAAAGGAAUUGACGGGGACCCGCACAAGCGGUGGAGCAUGUGGUUUAAUUCGAAGCAACGCGAAGAACCUUACCAAAUCUUGACAUCCUUUGACAACUCUAGAGAUAGAGCCUUCCCCUUCGGGGGACAAAGUGACAGGUGGUGCAUGGUUGUCGUCAGCUCGUGUCGUGAGAUGUUGGGUUAAGUCCCGCAACGAGCGCAACCCUUAAGCUUAGUUGCCAUCAUUAAGUUGGGCACUCUAAGUUGACUGCCGGUGACAAACCGGAGGAAGGUGGGGAUGACGUCAAAUCAUCAUGCCCCUUAUGAUUUGGGCUACACACGUGCUACAAUGGACAAUACAAAGGGCAGCGAAACCGCGAGGUCAAGCAAAUCCCAUAAAGUUGUUCUCAGUUCGGAUUGUAGUCUGCAACUCGACUACAUGAAGCUGGAAUCGCUAGUAAUCGUAGAUCAGCAUGCUACGGUGAAUACGUUCCCGGGUCU
rnacentral:rRNA from 1 species